rnacentral:tRNA from 1 species
GCACCUGUGGCCGAGUGGUUAAGGCGCCGCCCUGCUCAGACGGUGAGUUCACUCCCCGUGCGUACGAAUCGCAUUGGGUGCG